UAGGGAAUCUUCCGCAAUGGACGAAAGUCUGCCGGAGCGACGCCGCGUGAGCGAAGAAGGUCUUCGGAUCGUAAAGCUCUGUUGUUAGGGAAGAAGAAGUGCCGUUCGAACAGGGCGGCGCGGUGACGGUACCUAACGAGAAAGCCCCGGCUAACUACGUGCCAGCAGCCGCGGUAAUACGUAGGGGGCGAGCGUUGUCCGGAAUUAUUGGGCGUAAAGCGCGCGCAGGCGGUCCCUUAAGUCUGAUGUGAAAGCCCACGGCUUAACCGUGGAGGGUCAUUGGAAGCUGGGGGACUUGAGUGCAGAAGAGGAGAGCGGAAUUCCACGUGUAGCGGUGAGAUGCGUAGAGAUGUGGAGGAACACCAGUGGCGAAGGCGGCUAUCUGGUCUGUAACUGACGCUGAGGCGCGAAAGCGUGGGGAGCAAACAGG
rnacentral:rRNA from 1 species